rnacentral:rRNA from 1 species
GGCUCAGGAUGAACGCUAGCUACAGGCUUAACACAUGCAAGUCGAGGGGCAGCAUGAACUUAGCUUGCUAAGUUUGAUGGCGACCGGCGCACGGGUGAGUAACACGUAUCCAACCUUCCGUUUACUCAGGGAUAGCCUUUCGAAAGAAAGAUUAAUACCUGAUAGUAUGGUGAGAUUGCAUGAUAGCACCAUUAAAGAUUUAUUGGUAAACGAUGGGGAUGCGUUCCAUUAGGUAGUAGGCGGGGUAACGGCCCACCUAGCCUGCGAUGGAUAGGGGUUCUGAGAGGAAGGUCCCCCACAUUGGAACUGAGACACGGUCCAAACUCCUACGGGAGGCAGCAAUGAGGAAUAUUGGUCAAUGGGCGAGAGCCUGAACCAGCCAAGUAGCGUGAAGGAUGAAGGUCCUACGGAUUGUAAACUUCUUUUAUAAGGGAAUAAAACCUCCCACGUGUGGGAGCUUGUAUGUACCUUAUGAAUAAGCAUCGGCUAACUCCGUG